rnacentral:rRNA from 1 species
UUGACCUCGGAUCAGGUAGGGAUACCCGCUGAACUUAAGCAUAUCAAUAAGCGGAGGAAAAGAAACCAACAGGGAUUGCCCUAGUAACGGCGAGUGAAGCGGCAACAGCUCAAAUUUGAAAGCUAGCCUUCGGGUUCGCAUUGUAAUUUGUAGAGGAUGAUUUGGGGAAGCCGCCUGUCUAAGUUCCUUGGAACAGGACGUCAUAGAGGGUGAGAAUCCCGUAUGUGACAGGAAAUGGCACCCUAUGUAAAUCUCCUUCGACGAGUCGAGUUGUUUGGGAAUGCAGCUCUAAAUGGGAGGUAAAUUUCUUCUAAAGCUAAAUAUUGGCGAGAGACCGAUAGCGCACAAGUAGAGUGAUCGAAAGAUGAAAAGCACUUUGGAAAGAGAGUUAAAAAGCACGUGAAAUUGUUGAAAGGGAAGCGCUUGCAAUCAGACUUGUUUAAACUGUUCGGCCGGUCUUCUGACCGGUUUACUCAGUUUGGACAGGCCAGCAUCAGUUUCGGCGGCCGGAUAAAGGCUCUGGGAAUGUGGCCUCCACUUCGGUGGAGGUGUUAUAGCCCAGGGUGUAAUACGGCCAGCCGGGACUGAGGUCCGCGCUUCGGCUAG